rnacentral:lncRNA from 1 species
AAUAUCAGAGUAAAGAUGACAUUCUCAUCCUGACAGUGCGGCUGGCUGUCAUUGUUGCUGUGAUCCUCACAGUGCCGGUGUUAUUUUUCACGGUUCGUUCAUCUUUAUUUGAACUGGCUAAGAAAACAAAGUUUAAUUUAUGUCGUCAUACCGUGGUUACCUGCAUACUCUUGGUUGUUAUCAACUUGUUGGUGAUCUUCAUACCCUCCAUGAAGGAUAUUUUUGGAGUCGUAGGAGUUACAUCUGCUAACAUGCUUAUUUUCAUUCUUCCUUCAUCUCUUUAUUUAAAAAUCACAGACCAGGAUGGAGAUAAAGGAACUCAAAGAAUUUGGGCUGCCCUUUUCUUGGGCCUGGGGGUGUUGUUCUCCUUGGUCAGCAUUCCCUUGGUCAUCUAUGACUGGGCCUGCUCAUCGAGUAGUGACGAAGGCCACUGAAACCCGCCGAGAAAAAGAAACAUCCCUGUUGUCUGCUCAGUCAAGUCCCCACACAUCAGCAAUCUCUCACCACUUCUUUUGCAAGUUUACAGAAGCAAACAGAAAUGUACAGGAUACUUAAAAUGGAAUAACUUUUUGGUUGCAAAACAGAGACAUGGUUCUAUAAUGCUUCAUGUCCCUCCAAGAUUUGAGAUCAAUUUAGGGAUUGUGAAAUUUUUUUUUCAAAUUUCAUACAAUCAUAUUUCCCAGUACUUUUCACAAUCAUUUUUUACCCAUCUAACUCUAUGUUUUGUGGCUUCCCGGUCUCUUAGAACUUUGAAAACAUGAUAUACAAUAAUGUUUAUUUAUUAUACAUCCAGAUUCUGAAAUAAUUUUCCUACUGAUGUUCAGCUCACACUAUCUGUACCUUUUUAGAAGAGAAAAGAAUCUUGAAUUGUAUAUAUUUAUUUUGCUUUACAGAAAAAAAUGGUUUCGUAAAUAAUUUGCCUAUUUUGGUUAACAUAGCACAUGGAGAUAAUCAUCUGAAAGUUAUAGGGCACUGCCACUGCUGAAUCAGAGCAUGCCCAAUAUUUGAGGUGGCUCUGAUUUCCUGGCAGCUGAACUCGGGUAGUCCAGUGGCCUAGCUGGUACCACAUCUAUUCCCAUCCAGAGACAUUCUCUGGCAAGUGUUCUCAGCUGAAAAGUGGUUGGGGAUGAUUCUUACCUUGGUAAUUAAAUGAAGCUACACAUUUGGGUAAUCUAGCAAAUGAAGUAUUUUUUCCCUCUUGGCAACUUGUGUCAGAGUUACUCUGGUCUGAGUCAACUUUCGCUGGGGAAAACCUAUGGAACCUACUGCAAAAAGAUUGUCCAAAAUGCCUAAGAAAAUACUCCUCUGAUGCAUUUAGCCUUCAACCCUACCUGUCUUGCUGAAGGGAGAAAAAUGUUUUAGUACAUUAUAGGCCCAGCAGCUUUUAUUCAUGUCCACCAGCUAGUUGCACAGAGAAUCAUGUGUACCUAACUAAGGAUGAUCUAGGAUAAGUAACUCCUGUUUUAUAUUGAGUAUUUUAGGGAAGUCUUUAAAAGACUUGUUUUAUAUCUAUAAAUCUAGGUUAUUACAAAUACAAGAAUUUUGUACCUUAAAUAAGCCUCAUUUCUAUUUCUUCUUCAUUAAUUCUCCAUCUAGUCUUG